AACAGUAUGAUCAGUAACACCGAGUAGCGAAUGUGCUACUCGGUGUAGUGAUACAGGUAAAGUAAAAAAGUACCAUCGUAAACGUAACAUCACUGUGUAAACAUGCCGAGCUCUUGUUGCAUUCCACAGUGUAAAAAUACCACAAAAGAUGGAUUUUAUUUAUUUCGAUUUCCAUUAAAUCGCUCGAAUAUUUUACAACUGUGGAUUGCAACAAUUGGAAGAGACGAUUUUAAACCUACAAAAUACAACUUAAUAUGCAGUACACACUAUCAAGAAAAUGAUUUCAUCCCAAUGCAAAUGGUGUCCGGUUGAAUAAUCUUGCUGUGUUUUCAAUAUUUUGUGCUAUGCUAGAUGGAGCAUAAAUAAAUAUGAUUAGUUGUUGUUGUGCGCAAGCGCAAUGUCAUACUUGAAUUGUACGAAAGCAACGAGAGCGCGGAAAAAGAUACGCAAAUUAACAUAUAUUUAAUACAUAAUAUAUUCACAAUAUAAAUAAAUAAUUAUGAUGCUGUGCUGUGUCUCAAAUUGUCGCAAUAGGUCAGACAAUCACAAUUGGAAACAAACUACCAAUACAAACAAAAAUAAAAAAAUUACAUUUCACAGGUGUCUCUUUGCUAACUAAAGAACUCGCACUGCAGGUGACACAAGACACACACAAAAAAAAAGAAGAAACGCAAUUAAACUGAUAGCCACGACUUUGUGAGAAAAAAGGAAUCGGCAAGCGACCGAAUGUGUUAAUUAGCAAUGAAAAAAAAGGGAAGGAAAUUUAGCCAGCGAGCGACCGUCUAAUUUCCUUGACUGCAAAAUGCUAUGCGAGAUUUGACUUGCGCGUCACGAAAGAAUAGGGGUUUCCUGAAUCUGUACUGGCUUUAUAUACUAUUUUUCUUCUCGAAGGUUCCUUUUGUUUUUUCAUGAAACGGUCUGCGUGAUUUGCACUUUUUGAGGGUGCUUCCAGAAAACGAAGCAUGUUUUCUGCGAAUCGGGAUCGCCCGUUCGCGCAGACACGCAUGUGUUAUCGCAUAAUAGGCUGCCCCGCGCCGCGGGGCACUUUGCGAUUGGUUUGUGAUCCUGCGCAGGUACAUUUCCCUUAUCGCGACGUUAAUAGGCGCGCUGCCUGCUGCGCAGCGCUCA